GCACAUCUUGGCCUUUGCACACUUGAGUGGGUCUUCACCAGCUGCUUGCAAGUAAGCUUCAAUAACAAGGCCUGGGUACCCCUGAGGGGUACCGGGACAAGCCCAACAUGGCGGCUCAGAGCCGGAGCUGCAGAUUCUGCACCCAGGGCAAGAACUUCCCUUCGGUUUGUGGGACAGAAGCAGGAAGUGGGCUCAGGCUUGAAGACAGAUGUGUUCCCACAAACUCGGCCCUUGCGACAAUAUCCAUAGGGUAAUCGGCAUAUAUUGAGGGUCACCAUAGAAGCAUGAGCCAAUAUAGGCUCUCGAAGUCAGGAUCAGUUUUGCUUUUGGCUUUGGCUAGUACCUACUAUGCUAUCUUGCACAUAGUAAGUCUUUAAUGAA